UUUACCAAAGAAAAUCCAACUGACCCUGUUGUGCUGCCAAAAGCAGAUUGUGUGAUUGACUUGUAUAUGCUGGGUGCCAUUUCAAAAGACUCAGACAGUUACCAUCAUAAUCUAAAGAUAAUAUCAUCUAUGCUUAAAUUAGGAGGGCACUUUUUAUUAUUUGGGUCAUUUAUUGCAUCACAUUAUAAAAUAUAUCAUAUCUUAAAUUUUUGCGAAGAGGACCUAAGAAGAGCUCUUAAAGAUUGUGGGUUUUCUACUGAGCGAAUGGAAGUUAGG